GAAGUCUAUCUUACGCGCGAGCCAAUGGGCGGUUGGGGUGUGCUCGCGCGCACCCCAGUACACCGAGAACCCCACAGGCGCAGACAACUCGAGACGGUUUCGUCGCGGGAUUACGGGGGCGCGCUUGGUGCAAGCCAUGGACGCCUCCCUCCAUCCCAGGGUGCCCCGUCACGGGCUGGCGUGCGGUCACACGUGCGCCGCCCAGCGGGCAUCCCCCGAGUGCGUAGGAUGCGACCCGAAAGAUGGUGAACUAUGCCUGAUCAGGUUGAAGUCAGGGGAAACCCUGAUGGAGGACCGAAGCAAUUCUGACGUGCAAAUCGAUUGUCAGAAUUGGGCAUAGGGGCGAAAGACCAAUCGAACCAUCUAGUAG
rnacentral:rRNA from 1 species